UACGGAGGGUACAAGCGUUAUCCGGAUUCACUGGGUUUAAAGGGUGCGUAGGCGGGCUUGUAAGUCAGUGGUGAAAGCCCGGGGCUCAACUCCGGAACUGCCGUUGAUACUGCAAGCCUUGAGUACGGUUGAGGUGGGCGGAAUACAUCAUGUAGAGGUGAAAUUCUUAGAUAUGAUGUAGAACACCGAUUGCGAAGGCAGCUCACUAAAGCGUAACUGACGCUGAGGCACGAAAGCGUGGGGAUCAAACAGGAUUAGAAACCCUGGUAGU
rnacentral:rRNA from 1 species